UACGUAGGGUGCGAGCGUAAUCGGAAUUACUGGGCGUAAAGCGUGCGCAGGCGGUCUGUUAAGACCGAUGUGAAAUCCCCGGGCUAACCUGGGAACUGCAUUUGUGACUGCAUCGCUGGAGUGCGGCAGAGGGGGGAUGGAAUUCCGCGUGUAGCAGUGAAAUGCGUAGAUAUGCGGAGGAACACCGAUGGCGAAGGCAAUCCCCCUGGGCCUGCACUGACGCUCCAUGCACGAAAGCGUGGGGAGCAAACAGG
rnacentral:rRNA from 1 species